AGAUACAAUAAUGAUGUGAAUAAAGCGAUUUUGUUUACAUUUUUGAAUAAUUAUUAUUUUAAUUAUUUUCUGUUUUACUUACACUGAAUUUAUGAGUUAUCAUUGGGGCUCACCGGAACCUAAAAAAAAAUAUGCAAAUAUGACAUAAAAAUGACAAAAAAUUAAUAAUAAAAAGUUAAUAAACAUAAAUUUGUUUUAAAUUGUACUCUAUUUUAUUAUACAAUUCUAUAUACAUUUAUCAAAGCUUACAGAUAACUCAAAAUAUGACAUAAAAAUUACAAAAAGUGUUCUUUAAAAUUAAAUAAAAUAUUACAAAAAUUAUAAUAAAAUUUAGGUAUAAUAAUAUUCACUACAACAUGACAACGACUACUGUAAUUGGUGAGAUAAAAUUGGAUAGUUACUAAUUUUAGUCCGUGGCAGUUUUAAAGUUCUAAGUAAGUUAUCGGCAUAAUGAUAAGAAGUGAACAAAUGUGAAAUCAGUAAAAAUGACUAAAAAUGUGGAAAAAUGACCUAAAAAUUUCAAAAAUGACUUAAAAAGUAAUAAACACCAAAAAAUGCAAAAUAAUGCAAAAUAAAAAUUAGUUGUUCAGGAGAGCAUCGUCUAAAAAGUUCCAAAAAAAAAAAAAAAUACAUCAACUUCCGAGCCCUAGUUAUCAUUAUAUUUGUUAAUAAUUAUAUCUUUAUUGAUUAUGAAAGGUAUUAUUAUUUGUUUAUAGAAAAAAUAGUUUUUUUGUAAAAUAUUAUACACUAUAUAUAAGUAAACUCAAAUAUCUGUAUGUUAUAUUUUUGGGUUAUUAAAGCAAGUUGAUAUACAUAAAUAAUCCAUAUUUACUCUCAAAAGUUUUUAUAAUUUUAUUAAUUAAUAGCUAUCAUUAUAUUAUUUAUCAAGUUCUUACGUGUAAACAAAAAAAUAACACUUUAAUUUAUUUAUCGUUGGCAUUCCAAUAAAAAACAAAAUAAGUUUAAUAAUAAAUUAAAAUUUAUUAAUUUGGCUCUUAUGUCGCGUUUUUAAUUUCAUGUGUACAUAAAAUCAUUAAAAACAACAAUUAUAAUUCUAAUCACCCUUUUCCUACCAUGUAACUAUGUGGCCAAGUGUAUUUAUAUCGAAUUUAUGAUUAGCAACAGUAAUUUAAAUUAUUAUAAAACUAAAAUGCACAUUGAAUGUCUGAUAGAUUCUAACCUUUGAAUAUAAUAUUUUUUAUAUUUUUGUAUGCUUACAGAAAAGGAAGAUGAUUUCAUAUUUACGGUUGAUUAAGAUUUCAAGUUUACUUGUAGAUGUCAAACUUCAAGUGAAAAUGUUCAUGAACCAACUAACAGUUUUUGAUAUGGAUAAAAUAACAGCUUUUGGAAUUUUCAAUGUAAAUUUGAAUCUCGUUAUGUCGUUCAUUAUUCUACUUAUAACUGGAUUGACAACAUUAUUACAGAUGAAAAACUAUUCAAUUAUGAAUCAGUAUAUGAAUAAUACAAUAUUAUAUUUUACAAAUUUUUCUGAAUCAUCCUAAUACCUUUACUAGUCUGUGCUAAAAAACUUAAAUCAAGUACUGUAAACAGUGUAAACUGUAAAUAAUCAAUUCUUAUUGCAUAUCGAAUAUAGUUUAUUAGUGAACUUAGCUAGACGUUAAACAACUGAAUAACUGAUUAGUUAUUUUUAGGAUAAUACAGUGAUUUUUAUCAUUGAAAGACAUUUUUAUUUGUAUUAAAUUAUUCAUUGAACAUAUAGUUUGUAUUUCUUUUCAUAUUUAAUAUUAGUAUACAUAGAUUAUUGUUAAGUCGUUUUGCAAAUUUAUGUUAUUUUCAGUGUACUUUCUGAAAUCGAAAAUUCAGCGGUGAAACUACUGAAAUGUUAUUUAAUACAAUAGUUUAUUAAUUUUAAUAAAUUUUAAUAAGUUGUUUAUCCGAGUAUUUAGAUGAAAUUAUAAGUAUCCAUGAAUCACUUAU